rnacentral:rRNA from 1 species
CCAGCAGCUGCGGUAAUUCCAGCUCCAAUAGCGUAUAUUAAAGUUGUUGCGGUUAAAAAGCUCGUAGUUGGAUUUCUGUCUGGAAGACCCGCCAACCUCACGGUUCGUGCGUGUGUUGACCAAGACAUCCUCCAGUGACACGGCCCUUCCGGGGUACAACUGGACUAUUACUUUGAGGAAAUUAGAGUGUUUCAAGCAGGCACAUGCCUUGAAUACAUUAGCAUGGAAUAAUAAUCUAGGACUUCGGUUCUAUUUUGUUGGUUUCUAGAGCUGAAGUAAUGAUUAAUAGGAACAGUCGGGGGCAUUCGUACUCAACAGUCAGAGGUGAAAUUCUUGGAUUUGUUGGAGAC